rnacentral:rRNA from 1 species
GACGAACGCUGGCGGCGUGCUUAACACAUGCAAGUCGAACGGAAAGGCCCUGCUUUUUUGGGGUUCUCGAUUGGCGAACGGGUGAGUAACACGUGAGUAACCUGCCCUUGACUUUGGUAUAACUUCAGGAAACUGGGGCUAAUACCGUAUAGGAUCUCCUGCUGCAUGGUGGGGGUUGGAAAUUUUCGGCUGUUGGGGCUGGACUCGCGGCUUAUCAGCUUGUUGGUUGGGUAGUGGCUUACCAAGGCUUGGACGGGUAGCCGGCCUGAGAGGGUGAACGGCCACAUUGGGACUGCGAUACGGCCCAGACUCCAACGGGAGGCAGCAGUGGGGAAUCUUGCACAAUGGGCGGAAGCCUGAUGAAGAAACGCCGCGUGCGGGAUGACGGCCUUCGGGUUGUAAACCGCUUCAGCCUGUGACGAAGCGUGAGUGACGGUAAUGGGUAAAGAAGCACCGGCUAACUACGUA